GGUUCUCGUUAGAUCACCGAAGUCAAGCAUCAUUGGGCGCGGUCAGUACUUGGGUGGGUGACCACCUGGGAACACCGCGUGCUGUUG